rnacentral:rRNA from 1 species
GACGGAGGUCCCUAGCGUUGUUCGGAAUCACUGGGCUUAAAGCGCGUGUAGGCGGAACGGUGAGUACCUUGUGAAAUCCCCGGUCUCAAGCCGGGAACUGCUUGGUAUACUAUCGUUCUUGAGGCAGGUAGGGGUCACUGGAACCUUAGGUGGAGCGGUGAAAUGCGUAGAUAUCUAAGGGAACGCCUGUGGCGAAAGCGGGUGACUGGGCCUGUCCUGACGCUGAGACGCGAAAGCGUAGGGAG